rnacentral:rRNA from 1 species
AUUGAACGCUGGCGGCAUGCCUUACACAUGCAAGUCGAACGGCAGCGGACCUUCGGGUGCUGACGAGUGGCGAACGGGUGAGUAAUGCAUCGGAACGUGCCCAAUCGUGGGGGAUAACGUAGCGAAAGUUACGCUAAUACCGCAUAAGCCCUGAGGGGGAAAGUGGGGCCGCAAGGCCUCACGCGAAUGGAGCGGCCGAUGUCAGAUUAGCUAGUUGGUGGGGUAAAGCGUCACCAAGGCGACGAUCUGUAGCGGGUCUGAGAGGAUGAUCCGCCACACUGGGACUGAGACACGGCCCAGACUCCUACGGGAGGCAGCAGUGGGGAAUUUUGGACAAUGGGCGCAAGCCUGAUCCAGCCAUGCCGCGUGCGGGACGAAGGCCUCGGUGUAACCGCUUUGGCGGGAAGAGUAAUGACGGUACCGC